CGAAUAGUGAAAUGUUGGGCGGUUCAACGGGGGGCAAAAAAAUCUCUGUAAAGGUUAUCCAAUUCAGGGUUCCAGGGGGGCUGCAGCCUACACCCGCUGUCAUGGGAUGAAAACUGACCUUGGGCAGGUUUUUCUAUUGCAGGGAUAACACAGAGAGAACUAACUUAGAAUCACCAUUUAACCUAACAUGCAUGUAUUCUGACUUGGGGAGGAGUACCUGGAGGGAAUCCAUACAGGCACAGGCAGAACAUGCACUAGUAGAUUCAAAUCCUGGACCCUCUUGCUGUGAGGCGAUGGUGCUAACCACCACUGCACAACCAUGCUUAGCAGCUUAAAGAAAUUUUGUGUGCAAUUAUUCUUGGUCUCAAACUGGGCAAGCUUUCUAAUCUUUGUGCAUCUUUGCCCUCAGCUUUACACUCCUGAACCCAUCUUGAUUUUAGACUUGAACAGUCAUGGCGAGCAUUAGACUGGCUAGAUAUGGUGAAGGCUUACCACAAAAAUAAUUCCGCAAUUAUGUAUUUUCAGGUGUCUUUCUGUGCUCUUCAAGGCCUUUGUGGUGCUACUGUUAAUUUUAUAUUUUUAUUUUUUAACUGUAAUGAUGCCCUUCAACGUCACGCGGGGCCACAUACUGAGAGAGCCACUGAGCAGCUACUAAAUGCAAAUUCAGCACUUGGAAGUCAACUCCAGACUUUUUGUUUCCUUAAUUUAUUUAGGAAAUGGCAAAGAAGCCCCGGACACCUGACCACGAAACUGCCUUUCACUCAACCAUCUUUUGAGAUUGUAAAAAACAGGGGAAAGUGUCUGUACUUUCCAAAUAGAUAACCCAAUAUUCAAACCCCUUGAAUUAUAGCUGGUCACAUUUUAAUUGCCUCAUUUCAAACCCAUUGUGGUUGUGUACAGAAAAAAAUAUGCCACUGUACGUAUCACAUAUGGAGGCUACAUUAAUCACUUUAUACAAUUGCUUAAUGUGUUUUUUUAAAAGCAGCAGAUGUGAAGACAGGGAAAGAGAACUGAAGCUGGUGUAUGUUUUAUUUUUACCUUCAGGCUAAUUUUGAUUAAAUUUAGAGUGUUAAUACUAUGCAUGAGCUACAGUGAGCCUGUGUUUGAAUAAUAAUACUACAUAGAAACAGGGUUCAGUCUUGAGGGUUGCCACUUCUUAGCUUCUACAACAGAAACCUGUAAACACAGCAACAUAACCUUGAUGUUUUCACUGGUUCUAUUUUCAGUGUUUUAUGAAGUUGUUUUAAUUAGUCACUCCUUAGUAUGUUUUAGUCGCUGGUAUUAUAUUUUAUCCAGCAGGAGCACAUGACCCACUGUGUAUAUUUUUUUCUUUUUCAAUAACCUUGUUUUAAACAGCAGCGAAAAACAGCACUCAAUAUUUCAGCUCAUGCCUUCAUCAGAGUAAACAAACGUAAUGAGGAGUCGGUAAACAUGAAAUAAUCAGCCUUGUCACUCAUAUCAAGCACCAAUUCUUGCAGUCAGUUUCGCACACAUGCUUUCUGAUUCUUGCUGCAUUUCAUGUAAGAUCAGAAGAUUCUGUGAGAAUCCAGCAAAAUGUGUCCAAUAAAUUUCCACUAUCUCUAAA